ensembl:lncRNA
CUGAAUUGUUCAGAGAUAUGUUCUCUUAAGUAUCUGUUCCUAAGGUAAACUCUUCAGAAAACAGAAAUAAUUAAUUCCUGGGAGGGCAAAGGCAUUACAGCCAUCAAGAUGUAAGCACUUAUUAAAUGCAUUUGAAGCUUGUGUCAUUUGACAGUCUCCACCUCCUGAAGUAUUGUUGAGUCAUUGUGGAUUUGGGAUAUAUACAUCACAUGACAUGAUGUCCAAGUAGCUGUAGGUAAUAACGAAAUGCUCUGUAUUUCUAAAGAUCCUGGACAUUCACCUCAACUCCAGCAGCAGCCACACUAAGCAGAGGACUGUGGAGGUUUCCUGUGACCACAGUUGGUGGCUUUAAGGCUCACUGUUCAAACUCUGGGAAUGCUGACCCUGGAAGUGAACUUAAUCUGUGUUGGAGACAUGGGCUAAAGAGCUGGAGACAGACAUCCUACAUUUGAAUACAGGAUCCCCUAAAUUUUAUUACUGGGACGUUAAGGUAAGUUGUUU